rnacentral:tRNA from 1 species
UCUAAAAUGGCAGAUCAGUGCAUAGGAUUUAAGCUCCUAACAGGAAACUUUCUUUCUUUUAGAA